rnacentral:SRP_RNA from 1 species
ACCGGGCGCGCUGGCGCAUGCCUGUAAUCCCAGCUACUUGGGAGGCUGAAGUGGGAGGAUCCCUUGAGCCCAGGAGUUCUGGGCUGUAGUGCGCUAUGCCGACCAGGUGUCCGCACUAAGUUCAGCAUCAAUAUGGUGACCUCCUGGGAGCAGGGGACCACCAGGCUGCCUAAGGAGGGGUGAACCGGCCCAAGUCGGAAACGGAGCAGGUCAAAACUCCGGUGCUGAUCAGUAGUGGGAUCUGCACUCCAGCCUGGGCAACAUAACGAGACCCCGUCUCU